CUUUUUUAAGGAACUCUUCAAGCUCUUCAGCCCGAUGUAGAAGUUAUGGUUCCAAGAAUACACUGGCACUGACCCAGAGUAAUAUGUCAAACUGUUUUAGCGUUUGGGAAGGUCAAUGUCAAUUUGUUCAGUUCAGCGACAAAUUGAACAUCAGCAUCUGGCUUCUCCUGUCUGGGCCCAAAUAAGUGUCAAACCAUACUGAACAAGCUUGAUUGAUUACGCUUGGACAGUGCCCCGGCACUACUGGAAC